CAGCCCUCACCAUUCUUAAAUUUUGCCUUUUUGUUCCAAAGUUAAUGUAUGUGCUUCGCUGCAGUCCUUUCUGGAAACAUCAAAAUUUGCUCCUACCUAUAGACAUCAUGGUCCAGACUACCUUAGAGCGUAUUCUCAAUUUAAAGCUAUCCGAUCAAUCGUGGUUACAAGCAUCGCUACCUGUUCGAUACGGCGGGCUGGGGUUGCGCAGAAUUUCUAGCGUAUCACUGCCGGCAUUUCUAUCGUCUGUCCACAGCUCUGCUGAUCUUGUAGGAAAAAUCCUAAGGGUUUUACCCACAAACUAUGAGGUCACAGGCUUGGACGAUGCUAGAAAUGCCUGGCUGUCUGCCUGCCCGGGACAAGACCCUCCAUAUAAUCUAAAAUCACAGAGGAGCUGGGAUGACGCCUUAUCGAAAUUAACUUAUACCACAUGUUUAGAUAACAGCGAAGGAGCUGAACGCGCCCGUUUGAUCGCAGUUGGGUGUAGGGAGGCUGGCCACUGGCUCAACGCAUAUCCCUCGCCCAAUACUGGCACUCAUUUAGAUGGAAACACCCUCCGUGUGGCAGUUGGGCUGCGCCUGGGGGUUCCAAUCUGUGCACCGCAUAAAUGCCACUGUGGGAGUGAUGUGGACCAGCUGGGGCGUCAUGGUCUGUCUUGCCAGCGAAGCGCGGGGCGAUUGUCACGUCACGCCGCGCUCAAUGACAUUAUCCGUCGGUCUCUUGUCACCGUCAACGUGCCAGCGAUACUCGAGCCGACCGGUAUGGCCCGGGACGAUGGCAAGAGACCGGAUGGUAUUGUGGGACGCGACCUGUGUGGACACACUGGCACCGUCUCACCUUCACGGUAC